UACGUAGGGGGCUAGCGUUGUCCGGAAUCAUUGGGCGUAAAGAGCGUGUAGGCGGUCCGGUAAGUCCGCUGUGAAAGUCGGGGGCUCAACCCUCGAAUGCCGGUGGAUACUGUCGGGCUAGAGUGCGGAAGAGGCGAGUGGAAUUCCGUGGUGUAGCGGUGUAAAUGCGCAGAUAUCAGGAGGAACACCUAUUGCGAAGGCAGCUCGCUGGGACGUAACUGACGCUGAGACGCGAAAGCGUGGGGAGCAAACAGG
rnacentral:rRNA from 1 species